AGUUUGUACAUAGCAGCGGACGGGUGAGUAAUGCAUGGGUGAACUGUCCUCAGGAGGGGGAUAACUCUGGGAAACUGGAGCUAAUACCCCGUAAGUCGUGAGAUAAAAGGAGAAAUCCGCCUGGGGAUGUGCCCGUGUCCUAUUAGCUAGUUGGGGGGUUAAGAGCCUCCCAAGGCGAUGAUGGGUAGCCGGCCUGAGAGGGUGUCCGGCCACACUGGAACUGAGAUACGGUCCAGACUCCUACGGGAGGCAGCAGUGGGGAAUUUUGGGCAAUGGGGGCAACCCUGACCCAGCGACGCCGCGUGAGGGAAGAAGUUCUUCGGGACGUAAACCUCUGUUGUGGGAGAAGAAGUCAGUGACGGUAUCCCACGAGUAAGCCCCGGCUAACAACGUGCCAGCAGCCGCGGUAAUACGUAGGGGGCGAGCGUUAUCCGGAAUUACUGGGCGUAAAGGGCUCGUAGGCUGUUGUACAAGUCUGUCGUUUAAUGCAACGGCUCAACCGUUGAGGUGCGAUGGAAACUGUAUGACUAGGGUGCAGGAGAGGUAAGCGGAAUACCCGGUGUAGCGGUGGAAUGCGUAGAUAUCGGGAGGAACACCGGUGGCGAAGGCGGCUUACUGGUCUGUAACCGACGCUGAGGAGCGAAAGCCAGGGUAGCGAACCGGAUUAGAUACCCGGGUAGUCCUGGCCGUAAACGAUGGACACUAGGUGUGGGUGCUUUCGGGCAUCCGUGCCUCAGCAAACGCGGUAAGUGUCCCGCCUGGGGAGUACGGCCGCAAGGUUGAAACUCAAAGGAAUUGACGGGGGCCCGCACAAGCGGUGGAGCACGUGGUUUAAUUCGAUGCAAACCGAAGAACCUUACCUGGGUUUGACAUCUGCGUGGUACUGAAAUGAAAGUGGAAGGACUUAGGGGGCGACUCUUGAGAGCGCAGACAGGUGCUGCAUGGCCGUCGUCAGCUCGUGUCGUGAGAUGUUGGGUUAAGUCCCGCAACGAGCGCAACCCCUACAACUGGUUGCCAACAGGUUAAGCUGGGGACUCCAGUUGGACUGCCGGCGACGAGCCGGAGGAAGGUGGGGAUGACGUCAAGUCCUCAUGGCCUUUAUGCCCAGGGCUACACACGUGCUACAAUGGACGGUACAACGGGAAGCGAGACCGCGAGGUGGAGCGAAUCCCAUCAAAGCCGUCCCCAGUUCGGAUUGCAGUCUGCAACUCGACUGCAUGAAGCCGGAAUCGCUAGUAAUCGCAGAUCAGCAAAGCUGCGGUGAAUACGUUCCCGG
rnacentral:rRNA from 1 species